GACGAACGCUGGCGGCGUGCUUAACACAUGCGAGUCGAACGGAAAGGCCCUGCUUUUGUGGGGUGCUCGAGUGGCGAACGGGUGAGUAACACGUGAGUAACCUGCCCUUGACUUUGGGAUAACUUCAGGAAACUGGGGCUAAUACCGGAUAGGAGCUCCUGCUGCAUGGUGGGGGUUGGAAAGUUUCGGCGGUUGGGGAUGGACUCGCGGCUUAUCAGCUUGUUGGUGGGGUAGUGGCUUACCAAGGCUUUGACGGGUAGCCGGCCUGAGAGGGUGACCGGCCACAUUGGGACUGAGAUACGGCCCAGACUCCUACGGGAGGCAGCAGUGGGGAAUAUUGCACAAUGGGCGGAAGCCUGAUGCAGCAACGCCGCGUGCGGGAUGACGGCCUUCGGGUUGUAAACCGCUUUCGCCUGUGACGAAGCGUGAGUGACGGUAAUGGGUAAAGAAGCACCGGCUAACUACGCG
rnacentral:rRNA from 1 species